GCCAGGGGCCGCUGAGGAGAGACUUCUCCAAGGAGGAAGGGGCUGCGGGGCUGCAGCGGGGCCCGGAGCAGUUGGGGUGCAGAAGCAUCCUGGACAGCUGUAGUGGCACCAGAUGAAUUCUAGACUCCCAAGGCAGCAGGUGACAUGCCCGGCCCUCAGAAGAGUUCAGAUUAUGUUCUACAGUUAUAAUUGUAUGAUUAGAGGGAUUCAUGCAACAUGUUUGUGAAAGUAGCACACACAGUGCCUGGCAUACGGGAGGUACCCGGAUGGGCGAGUCACGACGUAGGACCUGGGCUCACCAGCCUUACAGCGUGAGGGACGACCAGCCUCGUGCCAGAGCCCAGAGCUUGCCGUGGAAGGAGGGACCCAAGAUCUGAAGUCAGACUUCACCAGUAGCAGCCUCACCGUCACCCCUCCUCCAUGCCAGGCGCUGCUUUGGGAAGUUUAUAUUUGCAAGCCCCCUAUGAGGCAGAUACCACUAUCACUCCCAUUUCCCAGAUGAGCAGACUUAGGCACAGGGAGACUAAGCUAGUAAAUGGAGGAGGCAGGACCCCAAGGCCUAGAUUUGAAUCCUGGCUCCCAACUCAUUAGCUUCACAGCCUCACCCUGAGUGAGUCAGUCAAUUUCUUCCAAAUCUCCA